GUCUGAUCCAGACUUUGAAGAUCUUGAUGAGCCACUUAUUGAAGAUAUCAUAUUGACCGAUUUUACAGAAUUUGAUGUCUAUAAAUGCUGCGAAGUUAAAGCUUGCAGGCAAAAAAAAAAUGGUUGGUAAUCAGUGUCCUGUGUGCAAAGCAACGACUUCAAAUCUCAAGUCCUACCGCAUCGCCUUUCUUUAUUCCACAGAAAAGGCAAAAGAUAAAAAAAUUACUCUCUUCAAAUCAACUAUAGAGAAGAUACUAAAAGUUGAACUGGACCUUGAGGAACAAAAAAGCAGUCUGAUCUCUGUUGUGGUAGACAAACUACCAAUUCGUGUCCGUGCCUCCAUUUCGGCUGGAAAUAAUUUGUACAACAUCCAGUAACUGUCACAUAUGGAUGCAUUGUGAAUACAGUGCAUAUUGACGUUUGAUUUUAUUAAGCCCUGGUACGACUAAUCAAAAGCUUACUGUUUUACUGUCCGUCCGUCACGCUAUGUCAAAGUGUUUUUGGUUAAGUUUUCUUCAAAGGGCUCAAUUAAGCUCGGAUGCUAUUUCUUUCAUGAAUAUUAAGUUUGGGUAUACAAUAUGUUGCACAGUGAAGUUAAUAUACACUUUGGCACUUUCAUGUCAACAUAUUUAGUUUCAUUCUGCAUUAGGUAAACGAAUAUAUUAAAUUGGAUAAAUCAUUAAUUGAAAACAUCAAUAAAACGGUUUCCUUAAAUUACCAUAAGUUGUUAAUAGGAUGCUAAACAAUGUAAAACCAAAACCGAGCUAAACAAUGUUAAACAAAAUCCGGUAUAAGUCAAUAUUUCUUACUCGUUGACCUAGGUUGCUACUUAUACUUUGUAGUUAUAUAUUUGUUUAUUAAAAAUACCAAUACAUUUUUUAUAUCUUUUUACUGAAAAUGUUGUUCUCAACUUUGGUAUAAACAACAAUUGUACAUCUAUAUUCAGAGUGUUUUUAAUUGAAUAAUUAUCCAAUAUUAUAUAUCUUACUUUGUCGUUUUUCGAGGAUGUUUUUGUAGUUUACAGUAUUUUACGAUAUUGUACAUGUAUUUUACAAUAUUGAUUUAACGAGUCAUUAUUUGUUAAGUAUUUAGCACUUAAUAUCUAGUCAUAGCAUUAUUGUGGAAGUGUUUUUGUAUGGAGUUUUUUUUUUAAUUAAUUGAAAUUUGCUGUUUACUGUAGUUAGCGGAUAUAACGAAAGCCAUUUAUUAAAGAAAAUCAUUUAAUAACCAUUUGUCCAGUAUUAUCAUUAUAUUUACCCUUAGCAUUUAGUAUAUUAUUGCAUCUCUGGCAUUGUUUGAUUACAACUGCAAUAAAGAAACUACCAAAGUAAUGUGAUGAAUCUCUACAUGUAUAUGUAAUCGGUAAAUAGUGUAUCACUUAGUUGCACUAUUGUGAUGAUAAAUUUGAAUAGACAAAAGAUAAGAUGAAGUGGAGUGCUUUUAGUUUACAAAGGACUACAUUGUAUACGAUAUGAUUUACUUUUCAAAUAAAUCUUUUUAAAUGUUGAAUACUUCCAUGAUACUAUUACAGUUUUGCAAUUUUUUUUUUUUUUUUACAUUUAUGGCUGCCAUGGUAACCUGUUGAAAUUUCCAUAAGUUAGGUAAAUUUGAACAUUCAGUCAAUUCAGGCUAUGUUUCACUCAGUUUUUCUUUUGGCAAGUAUAUAUAUAUAGAGCACAAUCUUGAAACUUGAUAUCAAAGGAAAUUGUAUAGGCACUGGUAAUAAUUAGGACACAUAUAGAGUUUGUUCAAGAAUGCACUCUAUCCUUUCCAAGAGAAAAACAGCGAAACAUGGCUCAAAUUGACUGAAUAUUAAAAUCUACGUAAUUGAUGCAAAAUUUGACUGGUUAUCAUAGCAACCAAAAUAACAUUGAAAUUAAAAAAAAAAAAAAAAAAAAUAUCGCGGAAAAUAUUCAAAAUUUGAAAAAGACUUUCAAUCAAAGGUUUUCAAUUUUGAUUGAUAUGGGGAACAAAAAAGGCCAAAACCAAUGUAUAACCCUUUCCCAUAUACAUGUAUAUGGAUUCCAUUGUUAACCUGGAGCUGAUGUCCAUGCUCACACUUCCAUUCCUCUUAAUGUUGAUCUAUAGUGCCAUUUUUUAUAACUAUUUGUUUUAGUUUACUUUUGUUACGUAAACAAAAUAUAGUAUAUUUUACAGUUUGUUGCAAUUCAAUUCAACUGGUUGUGUUCCUCCGUUUGGUUUUUGAUUUAUAUAUAUAUAUAUUUUUAUACUGUGUUAGUUGUAUAUUUUAUGACUUGCAUGAUUAUAAACGAAUAUAUUACAUUGGAGAAAUAAUUGAUUGAAGGCAUUAGUAAACAGGUUUAAAGAUAUGAAAAUUCCCAAAAAUUAUUGGAAAAGUUAAUAUUUCUUAUUCAUUAUUCUUUGUCAUGUACUAAUUUUUUGUUUAAAUUUAAAAAUACAAAUAACUUUAAUAUCUUCCUGAAAAUGCUGUUGUAGUAAACUUUGCAUUGGUAUGUGCAGCAAAUGUACAUCUAUAUUCCAAGUGCCUUCAGUUGAAUAAAAUUCAAUAUUGUAUUUGUUAUAUAUCAGAUAAUAAAAGUUAUUUCAACAA